rnacentral:hammerhead_ribozyme from 1 species
AUCCAGCUGACGAGCCCUAGAUAGGACGAAACGCACGUUAUGGAU